UACGGGGGGAGCAAGCGUUGUUCGGAUUUACUGGGCGUAAAGGGCGCGUAGGCGGCCAGCACAAGUCAGUUGUGAAAUCUCCGAGCUUAACUCGGAACGGUCAACUGAUACUGUGCGGCUAGAGUGCGGAAGGGGCAACUGGAAUUCUUGGUGUAGCGGUGAAAUGCGUAGAUAUCGGGAGGAACACCAGUGGCGAAGGCGGCGAUCCGGGUAGAUACUGACGCUGAGGUGCGAAAGCGUGGGGAGCAAACAGG
rnacentral:rRNA from 1 species